UCACAAUAUCAAGCUUGGCUUGUUGUUGGGCCUCUUUGUCACCUGGUGACAGGUCCGAAAGACAAUGACCGGUGUCAUAAGACUCCAUAUGCAACGAGCUUCUAACAGCACGCAUCUGGUGGUUGUGUGACCUGUGGGCAGCCUCUGGCACCCCCCUCUUUCUCAA
rnacentral:misc_RNA from 1 species